GAUUUGACAGGCAUCAUUAUUUAACGCAAACCAGUCCGCAGUAAUUUAGGACUUUGGCACCAUGAGAAAAAUGCACAGCGGACAGCCACGGAGAUCGGAUGACAAGAGUGCACACACGAUCGGAUUGGUAGACAAAAGCGGGGCAGACUUGCGGUGCUCAGGCAAAUAGAGCCCAAAGAGUAUUUCCACCUGUCCAAGUAUAUCUACAUCAGAAGAAAAAACGAAUAACUAACUUUAUUCUCAAAAUUUGUAAAGCAUAAACAUUUUUUAUUCAAUUUGAUGAGUUUUAUGUUAAAUGUCAAGUGGAGCAGAACAUAAAAAGCAGAACAAACAAAUAAACUUUAGAUGAUAAUGGCACAUAAAAUCCUAACACGCUCUAUUAUAUGUGAGUUAAUAAAAUCAUUAAGAACUUCAACUUUGAUCCAAAUAAACAAGAUCGUAAAGAUGAAAAUCAGCGAAUUGACCGGAGCGUACGAGUACUAAUAUCCAUGGCAAAUGGCUUUGGAUGAACAAGUCGAACAGAUUGAAAACAUUUCAAGAUUUUAUGACUGCCUUAAACACGGCUUUGUACAGCACACAACGUUAUAAAGGGAAAUACUUUCUCAAGACUUUCACAUAAAUAACUCGGGACCAGAGCUGAAAUCUGUCUGAUUCUGAGCUGAUCAGCCCAGUCCAGACUCACAGCAUUGUUCCAGAGCGGGUGAAAGGGACAGAUCGACCGAAAGUGACGAGCGAUUGCCGCCUGCAAGUGUCAAUAUAAAGUAACAACUUUAUUGAUCCUUAUUUAUUCGAGGGCGAACCAAUAAAAUGGGCAACUUUAUAAUGAUGCACAUAAAUAACGCGCCCCGCAAGAAGCAAACAAAGCCGAGCCAGACCAAGACGAGGGCGCAGGCGCAACGAUAACAAAGACAAGAAAUAAAAAAAAAAAAAACUCCAAGAUGAAGGCGACAACAUGUCAGCGACGAAUGGCAUUGAGGAUGUGAAUCUCAAGUUGAGACCUGCCCGGCAACCUGAGUGCAGCGGGACGAGACUUUGAUUUGUUGGCAGCCAAAUCAAGAAGAAGAAGAGGAAGAUGAGUAACAUCUGAAAGGCGGAUGUGCUGCAAGCGUCAAGAAAGCGUUACCCAAACACAAUUAGAGAGUAUUUUCUUGAGGCUUAGAUGUGAUCGGGCUUAACUUUAUUCAAGCAAAAUGGGCUUAUACUUUCAUCCAUGUGCAUCGGAGAUUUUCAAUACGUUUCUAGGAUCAAAAAUAAAAUGUGCUCACCAGAUAUUUUAUCGAUUUGGAAAUCUCGUAUAAAUAUUUAUUACAGAAUUUGAUUUUUGUUUUAUGAACAUAGUAAAUAGGCUUUGACAGACUUGCAUAUUUAAACAUUGAAAUCAAAGCUGCAAACAGGUUUUGAACGGAACAAGCUUUAAGACAGAAUUCGAGUUUAGUUUUUAUUAUGAGUUGAAGCUUAACCCCAACCAGAUUCCGAAAAACUAAGCAAAAGCCAAAUUUUAUAUAUUUAAAAAACAAAAUUUUCUUCAAAUAAAAAGUUAGCUUUACGAACCGAAACCAAAA